ACGGAAGGCAGCAGCUGAGAAUAUUCCGCAAUGGACGAAAGUCUGACGGAGCGACGCCGCGUGGAUGAUGAAGGCCGGAAGGUUGUAAAAUCCUUUUAUAACUGAGGAAUAAGCAUUAUCAGGGAAAGGUAGUGCGGUGACUGUAGGUUAUGAAUAAGCAACGGCUAAUUACGUGCCAGCAGCCGCGGUAACACGUAAGUUGCGAGCGUUGUUCGGAAUUAUUGGGCGUAAAGGGCAUGUAGGCGGUUUUGCAAGCUUGGUGUGAAAGGCAGGAGCUUAACUCCUGGACUGCGUUGAGAACGGCAAGACUUGAGUCACUGAGGGGCAAUCAGAAUUCCUGGUGUAGGGGUGAAAUCUGUAGAUAUCAGGAAGAAUACCAAUGGCGAAGGCAGGUUACCAGCAGAUGACUGACGCUGAGGUGCGAAGGUGCGGGGAGCAAACAGGAUUAGAUACCCUGGUA
rnacentral:rRNA from 1 species